CCUAGUACGAGAGGAACCGUUG
rnacentral:snRNA from 1 species